rnacentral:rRNA from 1 species
ACAGCAGCAGCCGCGGGAAUACGAAGGGGGCUAGCGUUGCUCGGGAUUACUGGGCGUAAAGGGAGCGUAGGCGGACAUUUAAGUCAGGGGUGAAAUCCCAGAGCUCAACUCUGGAACUGCCUUUGAUACUGGUGUCUUGAGUGUGAUAGAGGUAUGUGGAACUCCGAGUGUAGAGGUGAAAUUCGUAGAUAUUCGGAAGAACACCAGUGGCGAAGGCGACAUACCGGAUCAUUACUGACGCUGAGGCUCGAAAGCGUGGGGAGCAAACAGGAUUAGAUACCCGCGUAGUCCCUGUCUCUUAUACA